rnacentral:rRNA from 1 species
CUGGCCUUGACAUCCACGGAAUUCUGCAGAGAUGUGGAAGUGCCUUCGGGAACCGUGAGACAGGUGCUGCAUGGCUGUCGUCAGCUCGUGUCGUGAGAUGUUGGGUUAAGUCCCGCAACGAGCGCAACCCUUGUCCUUAGUUGCCAUCAUUCAGUUGGGAACUCUAAGGAGACCGCCGGUGACAAACCGGAGGAAGGUGGGGAUGACGUCAAGUCAUCAUGGCCUUUAUGGCCAGGGCUACACACGUGCUACAAUGGCAGGUACAGAGGGAAGCCAACGCGCGAGCGGGAGCUAAUCCCAGAAAGCCUGUCGUAGUCCGGAUCGGAGUCUGCAACUCGACUCUGUGAAGUUGGAAUCGCUAGUAAUCGCAGAUCAGCAUUGCUGCGGUGAAUACGUUCCC